UCUCUGUGCUGUGUCUGAGUGAUUUGUCUCUGUUGCAGGUCCAGUGCUCAAGCUGCAGCAGCGAACCCCUCGCCGGCGGGGCCAGCAAACUGCUGAACAGCCCUGAAGACAGUCUCUAUUACAACCAGCUAAAUAGAAAUCUGGAUUACCAGGGGAGCAAGAGGAAGCUGAGAAAACUUGGGUAAAUAACUGCUUUCCUUCCUACAGCAACUCUAAACAGAGCAGGCCCUUUG
ensembl:lncRNA